rnacentral:rRNA from 1 species
GAUGAACGCUGGCGGCGUGCCUAAUACAUGCAAGUCGAGCGAACAGACGAGGAGCUUGCUCCUCUGACGUUAGCAGCGGACGGGUGAGUAACACGUGGAUAACCUACCUAUAAGACUGGGAUAACUUCGGGAAACCGGAGCUAAUACCGGAUAAUAUAUUGAACCGCAUGGUUCAAUAGUGAAAGACGGUUUUGCUGUCACUUAUAGAUGGAUCCGCGCCGCAUUAGCUAGUUGGUAAGGUAACGGCUUACCAAGGCAACGAUGCGUAGCCGACCUGAGAGGGUGAUCGGCCAAACUGGAACUGAGACAAGGUCCAGACUCCUAAGGGAGGCAGCAGUAGGGAAUCUUCCGCAAUGGGCGAAAGCCUGACGGAGCAACGCCGCGUGAGUGAUGAAGGUCUUCGGAUCGUAAAACUCUGUUAUUAGGGAAGAACAAAUGUGUAAGUAACUAUGCACGUCUUGACGGUACCUAAUCAGAAAGCCACGGCUAACUACGUG